GAUAAGAACGUAGCGAAAUGCGAUACUUGGUGUGAAUUGCAGAAUUCAGUGAAUCAUCGAGUCUUUGAACGCACAUUGCGCCCCCUGGUAUUCCGGGGGGCAUGCCUGUCCGAGCGUCAUUGCUGCCCUCAAGCACGGCUUGUGUGUUGGGCCUCCGUCCUCCUCCCGGGGGACGGGCCCGAAAGGCAGCGGCGGCACCGCGUCCGGUCCUCGAGCGUAUGGGGCUUCGUCACCCGCUCUUGUAGGCCCGGCCGGCGCUUGCCGACACAUCAAUCUUUUUUCCAGGUUGACCUCGGAUCAGGUAGGGAUACCCGCUGAACUUAAGCAUAUCAAUAAGCGGAGGA
rnacentral:misc_RNA from 1 species